CUUGCCCUACCGUGUGCGUGGUCAACCUGGCUAUGUUAUGAGCCAACACCAUAACAUUGGGAGCCUAAUCUCUGGUAGUGGCAUGCAUGCCUCUAGGUGAGGAAACAUAAGACUAUUAGGACGGCACCCACCUGCUUAGGCAGGUUCAUUAACAGUCAGGAAUAGCGGCAUGGUGGGGAUCUU
rnacentral:other from 1 species